rnacentral:rRNA from 1 species
GAUGAACGCUGGCGGCGUGCCUAAUACAUGCAAGUCGAGCGAACAGACGAGGAGCUUGCUCCUCUGACGUUAGCGGCGGACGGGUGAGUAACACGUGGAUAACCUACCUAUAAGACUGGGAUAACUUCGGGAAACCGGAGCUAAUACCGGAUAAUAUAUUGAACCGCAUGGUUCAAUAGUGAAAGACGGUUUUGCUGUCACUUAUAGAUGGAUCCGCGCCGCAUUAGCUAGUUGGUAAGGUAACGGCUUACCAAGGCGACGAUGCGUAGCCGACCUGAGAGGGUGAUCGGCCACACUGGAACUGAGACACGGUCCAGACUCCUACGGGAGGCAGCAGUAGGGAAUCUUCCGCAAUGGGCGAAAGCCUGACGGAGCAACGCCGCGUGAGUGAUGAAGAUCUUCGGAUCGUAAAACUCUGUUAUUAGGGAAGAACAAAUGUGUAAGUAACUAUGCACGUCUUGACGGUACCUAAUCAGAAAGCCACGGCUAACUACGUG